GAUGAACGCUGUCGGCUUGCCUAAUACAUGCAAUUCGAGCGAACCGACCAGGAGCUUGCUCCUCUGACUUUAGCGCCGGACGGGUGAGUAACACGUUUAUUACCUACCUAUAAGACUGGGUUCACUUCUGGAAACCGUAGCUCAUACCGGAUCAUUUAUUUUUUCGCAUGGUUCCAUAGUGAACGACGCUUUUGCUGUCACUUAUAGAUGGAUCCGUGCCGCAUUAGUUAGUUGGUAAGGUAACGGGUUACCAAGGCAACGAUUCUUAACCGACAUGAUAGAGUGAUCGGCGACACUGGAACUUAAACAAGGUCCAUACUCCUACGGGAGACAGCAGUACGCAAUAUUACACAAUAGACGAAAGCCACACGCAGCAACGCCACGUGAGUGAUGAAGAUCUUCGGAUCGUAAAACUCUGUUAUUAGUGAAGAACAAAUGUAUAAAUAACUAUGCACGUCUUGACGGUACCUAAUCAGAAAGCCACGGCUAACUACAUG
rnacentral:rRNA from 1 species